UUUAAUCAUACUGUGUGAGGAGCGCUGCGAUAAUCGCAACACAGCACACCACACACAUAAAGAUUCUGUUGCACCACCGAUCUAGAAUCUAGUCCUCCAAGACAGAAAUCUUGCGUGAUCAAACGGGAUCUAACAAAAUUGAAGAAGAAGCAACAUGGCAACAACUGGGAAAGCGGACUUUAUAAUCUAUCGCGGGAGCUAGAGGCGAGUUCUCAAAUUAAGGUUAUGGCUGAAGUCAUUAGCCUUUGUUUUUCGGGUAGUCCUUGUUCAUUUUUAUUUACCCUUACUUCCUUGUUCCUCAGUCAGGUCACUUCUUGAUUGGCUACAUUCCAAUGUGUUGUGCCUUUUGUUUUUGAAAGAAAAGUUGGUUUUUGUGUCGUGCGCUCAAACUUGGCCACCCACCAGUAGGCGAUGAUGCAGAGUGCAGAGGCGACUUCAUGAAAGCAAGUAACAUAGCGCGAGCUCCGAAGAUAAUUAUACUUGGAUUCAAGUAUUGUGUUUUUGAUACAAUCGUGAAAACGAGAAUGGCAGCAUGUAAGGUUCCUAACUCAAAGAUAAGAAACACAACAACUAUGACCUACCGCAAAAAGAGAAAAGGUUAUUGACACCAGUGAUGAAGAAUAUGGAACCAUAUUGGCUGCUCAUUCAGUGCUUAAGCCGAGGUUGGAGCCACCAUUGUUGGGGCGACAUUGGACAAAGGAAUGGAUGGAGCUGGAGUCGAUGGAGCUGGGACAGCAGGCAAGCUGCUACCAUCAGCACCACCACACGAGAGGAAAUCACUGUAUCGAGCCACCGAGAAUUGCAGCCAGUGAAAAAGCACGUUUCAUCAACCUCUUGCACUGUGCCAG